CCUGGUGGAAAUUUUAUAUUAGGUCUAACCUGCUCAAUGAAUUAUUAAAUAGCCGCAGUAUUUUGACUGUGCGAAGGUAGCAUAAUCAUUUGUCUUUUAAUUGAAGGCUUGUAUGAAUGGUUGGAUGAGGGAAUUGCUUUCUUUAUAUUAUGUAUAUGAAUUUAAUUUUUAGGUUAAAAAGCUUAAAUUUUUAAAUGGGACGAGAAGACCCUAUAGAAUUUUAUUUGAAGUUUAAUUUUUUAAUAAUUGGUUAAAUAUUUUAUAAACUAUACUCCAAAUUUUGUUGGGGUGACAGUAAGAUUAAUCUAACUCUUAUAAUUAAUGUUUUAUUUAUUUAUAUGUAAAAGAUCCUAUUUUAUGGAUAUUUAGAUUAAAUUACCUUAGGGAUAACAGCGUUAUUUUUCUGGAGAGUUCUUAUCGAUAGAGGAGUUUGCGACCUCGAUGUUGGAUUAAAAUUAGAUUUAAGUG
rnacentral:rRNA from 1 species